GGAACAAGAGGGCUCUCGCAGCUGCUUAGCAGCUACGCUCGGGCCCUAAUAAUAAUAACUAGGGCCCCGGUGGGGCACUGUCGGGCCCGAGCCGCGUCGCGCCGCCCCCAGCGCGACCGCCUCCCCCUCCCGAUCGCGUCACACUCAAGGUCCAAAGAUGGUGUGCGCACUUGUCUGUGGUCAUUUCCCAUUAUAAUGAAUGGGAGGCGCAGUUUCUACCAAAACGCUCGCUGCAGACAAACUACAUGUCCUAUUUGAAAAAAGUCUGGACCAUGAGUGAGGGCACAAACACAGCUAGUAUAUAUCCAAAUGGCAAGUUGCUCCUCCUUUCGGUUUUGCAGAGAGAGCGAUGCGUUUGAGCCAUUGAGCGAUGGGCAGGAAAAACUUGACUUUUUCUCCUGCCAUGGGGGGGCGCUCUUUUGGGGAGAAAAAUUCCUUCACAAAUGUGUUGAUGGCUGGACAUUGCAUCAUCCUAGAAAACUUGGAGGCCAGUGAGGACAAAAAUAAAAAGUUAUAAGACUUUUAAAAAUGUGGAUAUUUGGGUCCUCUUUGGCGCCCCCUAGAACGUAAACUGUGGGGUGCAGCGUCAUGAUUUGUACAACUUUGAAUGGCCAUGGGGUGUAGAUUGACCUGAGCAAAUUUGAAGCCGAUGGGACAAAAGAUUUAGGAGGAGUUAGCGAAAUUCCAAUGUGUGCGGAUCGGCAAAAAAUGCGAAAUAACCCUUUAACCGUACAUUUGACAGAUACGCCCGCACUGACUUUUUUGUAGAUCUUAUUGAGAUACAUGUGUGUGUCAAAUUUUGUGUCAUUUUGACAAAGCGUAAAGGCGUGACAGUCAACAAUGUGUAUUUUUGCCUUAGGAGACAAGAAAAAAUGGACUUUUUUCUCCUGCCAUGGGGGGGGCGCUCUUUUGGCGAGUAAAAAUUCCUUCACAAAUGUAUUGAUGGCUGGACAUUGCAUCAUCCUAGAGAACUUGGAGGCCAGUGAGGACAAAAAUAAAAAGUUAUGACUUUUAAGACUGUGGAUUUUUGGGUUAUCUUUGGCGCCCCCUAGAACGUAAACCGUGGGGUGCAGCGUCAUGAUUUGUACAACUUUUAAUGGCCAUGGGGUGUAGAUUGGCCUCAGCAAAUGUGGUGCCUUUGGAACGAAAGCCUUCGGAGGAGUUAGCGAAAUUCCAAUGUGUGCGGAUCGGCAAAAAAUGCGAAAUAGCCCUUUCACCGUACAUUUGACAGAUACGCCCGCACUGACUUUUUUGUAGAUCUUAUUGAGAUACAUGUGUGUGUCAAUUUUUGUGUCAAUAUGACAAAGCGUAAAGGCGUGACAGUCAAUAGUGUGAAUUUUCGCCUUAGGAGACAAGAAAAAAUGGACUUUUUUCUCCUGCCAUGGGGGGGCGCUCUUUUGGGGAGUAAAAAUUCCUUCACAAAUGUGUUGAUGGCUGGACAUUGCAUCAUCCUAGAAAACUUGGAGGCCAGUGAGGACAAAAAUAAAAAGUUAUACGACUUUUAAGAAUGUGGAUUUCUGGGUGAUCUUUGGCGCCCCCUAGAACGUAAACCGUGGGAUGCAGCGUCACGAUUUGUACAACUUUUAAUCGCCAUGGGGUGUAGAUUGGCCUGAGCAAAUUUGGUGCCGGUGGAACGAAAGCCUUCGGAGGAGUUAGCGAAAUUCCAAUGUGUGCGGAUCGGCAAAAAAUGCGAAAUAGCCCUUUAACCGUACAUUUGACAGAUACGCCCGCACUGACUUUUUUGUAGAUCUUAUUGAGAUACACGUGUGUGUCAAAUUUUGUGUCAUUUUGACAAAGCGUACAGGCGUGACACUCAAUCAUGUGAAUUUUUCACCUUAGGGGGCGCUAUGGAGCCAUUUUGCAUUUGAUUUUUUGGGCGACUUCAGAAUAUCGAAUUUUUCACCAGGCCCGGUCGUCCUGCCAAAUUUCAUGACUUUUCACCAGUGGGAAGUGGGCCAUUUUCCAGUUCAAAGGGGCAGAAAAAUAAUAAGAAGAAGAAGAAGAAAGAAGAAUCCAUCAGGAAUAAUAGGGCUCUCGCAGCUGCUUAGCAGCUACGCUCGGGCCCUAAUAACAAAAGAAGGAAACUACAGGAACAAGAGGGCUCUCGCAGCUGCUUAGCAGCUACGCUCGGGCCCUAAUAACAAACUAGGACCCCGUUGGGGCACUGGCGGGCCCGAGCUGUGUCGCGUCCCCCCCCCAACGCGCUGCCUCCCCGUCCCAUUUGUGUCCUCUGGCCAUCGCCCUCUCUGGUAACGCCCAUCACUGCAAAGACCCUUUUCCUUCAUCGGCGUUUGCUGUUCUUCCUGCCAGUGCGUGUUGCUUUCACUUACACUUGCCACAGCCAGCCUCGUGAGUGCCUAGCCUAUUCGAUAUCACUGUCACCUACACAGGACAGUCAUUACCUUUCUAUUAAUACUUUGUGUUUUAAUUUCACAUUAAUUUCCAUAUUGUAUAAACGACUGGAAAAAACUUGAGCCCCUGCCCCUGUAUAAUCAUGUGCAUGUCUCUGUUCUAGCUCCAAGGUGAAUCUUCACUGCUCAUGUUCUCCUCAGAAGCACUCACCUCACUCCCCUCAGGUUACUGUACACAUGCACCAACUGCCUGCUUCAGGUUUGGAUGGAGCUUCAUGGUUGUCUUUUGGAGAAAUGACCAGUCAAGUUGUGUUUGAAAUUUGAUAUUUUUCAGGGGCAAAAGGAGCCUCUGCAUUCUUGUCAAAUAUGUAAAUAGCAUGUUUUUGCAGGUGCUAAAAACCAGACUCUGAGUGUGUGUGUGUGUGUGUGUGUGUGUGCGUGUGUGUGUGUCUGUUUGUGCGUUCAAGUCACAUGACAUAUUUAACCGGAUGUAGCUGCAAGACGGAGCCUCGUUGACUCUCUGUUUCAACUUAUCUCAAAAGUGAGGACCUCAACCUAUAUACCAGUUUUUAAAUUGUGUUGAUAGGCCAAAUAAAACCAGAGUUAUGAUAAAUUAUGUCCGCGAUACUUUUUUUCUGCUUAUUUUGAUCACGUUCGGCGCUCGAUCGCGCUGUAUGAGACAGGAAAACAUAGCAUGCAGACAUUAGCGACAGGUCUUACAGGCGGAAAAGGCUUGCCAAAAGAAAAAAAAAACACACCACAACAUCUCUCCUAUUGGUGGAAAACUUCACCACAACAACCAAUCCAAAAUUAUAUGGUGACUGAUUGACAAGGGGCGGGCGCUUACGUUCUUCCUGCAACAUGAGAAGGGAGGGAGGGACUCUCAGCAGGGAUGCAGUCUGGGACACGUAGUUGCAAACCUAGCGACUUUGUUGUUAGAUUCAAUGACUUUUCAGACCCCCUAACGACUUUUUUUAGAAAGAAAGGGACUUUUAUCGACUUCUUCUGGAGUUUAGAGACUCUGACAUGAAGCAGGCUUUCCUUACUGAGGAGUUAGCAACGCUGCUAAGGGUGCAGAGCCACACAUGCGCUCAGAGCUCUGCAUGGGAGACUGAAGCUGACAGAGCUGCAGCAGUUAGCAGGUUUCACCCUCAGAGACCACCAGGGGUUCAUGUUGAGGCAUUUUAAUUUUUUUUUUUUUUGUGCCAUAGACACUGUCAGCACAAUCUGCAGUUACACUAACAAAAAUGCUGCAAAAAACAAAGAAUUAUGGAAAAAUUACACAUGGACUGACAUAGAGGAGGAUCUACACAAGUUUUUUACAUCAUGUUUUACAUCAUGCAUCAUUUACAUCAUGUUUUUUUGUAGUGGCAUAAAUAAAAAGUGACAUUUGUGAGACUAUACAGUGUUUUGUAAAUAAUUUUACAAAGAACGCCUGGGCCAUUGCCUGCAUUUUGAUGUAAAUAGAGGUAAAUCACUAUGUUCUUUGUUAAAAAUUUGCAUAUGUUUUGAAGUUUACAAUUUUUAUUUGAAGUUUAAGUUUUAAAAACAGUUCAUCACACAUAUUUGUGGUUUAAUUUCACAUUAAUUUCCAUAUUGUAUAAAUGACUGGAAAAAACUUGAGCCCCUGCCCCUUUAUAAUCAUGUGCACGUCCCUGUUCUAGCUCCAAGGUGAAUCUUCACUGCUCAUGUUCUCCUCAGAAAUAGUCACUUCACUCCCCUCAGGUUACUGUACACAUGCACCAACUAUCUGCUUCAGGUUUGAAAUGGAGCUUCAUGGUUGUCUUUUGGAGAAAUGAACAGUCAAGUUGUGUUUGAAAUUUGAUUUUUUUCAGGGGCAAAAGGAAGCCUCUGCAUUCUUGUCAAAUAUGUAAACAGCAUGUUUUUGCAGGUGCUAAAAAACAGACUCUGAGUGUGUGUGUGUGUCUGUGUGUGUGUGUGUGUGUGUGUGUGUGUAUGUUGGCGUGUGUGUAUAUGUGUGUGUAUCCUGCAGUACUCUGUACUCCUGCAGUGGCCAAAAAGACUUUUAAGAAUGUGGAUUUUUGGGUCAUCUUUGGCGCCCCCUAGAACUGCAGUACUCUGUACUCCUGCAGUGGCCAAAAUGACUUUUAAGAAUGUGGAUUUUUGGGUCAUUUUUGGCGCCCCCUAGAACGUAAACCGUGGGGUGCAGCGUCAUGAUUUUUACAACUUUGAAUGGGCAUGGGGUGUAGAUUGCCCUGAGCAAAUUUGGUAUCGGUGGGACGAAAGCCUUAGGAGGAGAUAGCCACAUUCCAAUGUGUGCGAAUCGGCAAAAAAUGCAAAAUAGCCCUUUAACCGUACAUUAUACAGAUACGCGCUCUUUGACUUUUUCGUAGAUCUAAUUGAGAUACACAUGAUUGUCAAUUUUUGUGUCAAUAUGACAAAGCGUUCAGGCGUGACACUCAACAAUGUGUAUUUUUAUGUAAGGGGACAAGAAAAAAUUGACUUUUUUCUCCUACCAUGGGGGGGCGCUCUUUUGGGGAGUAAAAAUUCCUUCACAAAUGUGUUGAUGGCUGGACAUUGCAUCAUCCUAGAAAACUUGGAGGCCAGUGAGGACAAAAAUAAAAAGUUAUAAAACAUUUAAGAAUGUGGAUUUUUGGGUUAUUUUUGGCGCCCCCUAGAACCUAAACCAUGGGGUGCAGCAUCAUGAUUUGAAUAACUUUUAAUGGCCAUGGGGUGUAGAUUGGCCUGAGCAAAUGUGGUGCCGGUGGAACGAAAGCCUUCGGAGGAGUUAGCGAAAUUCCAAUGUGUGCGUAUCGGCAAAAAAUGCGGAAUAACCCUUUAACUGUACAUUUGACAGAUACGCGCGCGUGGACUUUUUUGUAGAUCUUAUUGAGUUACAUGUGUGUGUCAAUUUUUGUGUCAUUUUGACAAAGCGUAUAGGCGUGACACUCAACAAUGUGUAUUUUCACCUUAGGGGACAAGAAAAAAUGGACUUUUUUCUCCUGCCAUGGGGGGGCGCUCUUUUGGGGAGUAAAAAUUCCUUCACAAAUGUGUUGAUGGCUGGACAUUGCAUCAUCCUAGAAAACUUGGAGGCCAGUGAGGACAAAAAUAAAAAGUUAUAAGACUUUUAAAUAUGUGGAUUUUAGUGUUAUCUUUGGCGCCCCCUAGAACCUAAACCUUGGGGUGCAGCGUCAUGAUUUUGAUAACUUUUAAUGGCCACGGGGUGUAGAUUGGCCUGAGCAAAUGUGGUGCCGGUGGAACGAAAGCCUUCGGAGGAGUUAGCGAAAUUCCAAUGUGUGCGGAUCGGAAAAAAAUGCGAAAUAACCCUUUAACCGUAAUUUUGACAGAUACGGCCGCACUGACUUUUUUGUAGAUCUUAUUGAGAUACAUGUGUGUGUCAAUUUUUGUGUCAUUUUGACAAAGCGUACAGGCGUGACAGUCAAUAGUGUGAAUUUUCACCUUAGGGGGCGCUAUGGAGCAAUUUUGCAUUUUCUUGUUUGGGCGACUUCAGAAUAUCAAAUUUUUCACCAAGCCCAGUCGUCCUGCCAAAUUUCCUGAGUUUUCGCCAGUGGGAAGUGGGCCAUUUUCCAGUUCAAAGGGGAGGAAAAAGAAGAAAGAAAGAAACAAAGAAAAACCCCUACAGGAAUAACAGGGCCUACGCCCGGCUGCUCUGCAGCUGGCUCGGGCCCUAACUAGGGCCCCGUUGGGGCACUGGCGGGCCCGAGCCGUGUCGCACCCCCCCCCCCCCCCCAAACGCGCUGCCUCCCCGUCCCAUUCGCGUCCUCUGGCCAUCGCCCUCUCUGGUAACGCCCAUCACUGCAAAGACCCUUUUCCUUCAUCGGCGUUUGCUGUUCUUCCUGCCAGUGCGUGUUGCUUUCACUUACACUUGCCACAGCCAGCCUCGUGAGUGCCUAGCCUAUUGGAUAUCACUGUCACCUACACAGGACAGUCAUACUUUGUUUUUUAAUUUCACAUUAAUUUCCAUAUUGUAUAAACGACUGGAAAAAACUUGAGCCCCUGCCCCUGUAUUAUCAUGUGCACGUCCCUGUUCUAGCUCCAAGGUGAAUCUUCAGUGCUCAUGUUCUCCUCAGAAGCAGUCACCUCACUCCCCUCAGGUUACUGUACACAUGCACCAACUGCCUGCUUCAGGUUUGGAUGGAGCUUCAUGGUUGUCUUUUGGAGAAAUGACCAGUCAAGUUGUGUUUGAAAUCUGAUUUUUUUCAGGGGCAAAAGGAAGCCUCCGCAUUCUUGUCAAAUAUGUAAAUAGCAUGUUUUUGCAGGUGCUAAAAAACAGACUCUGAGUGUGUGUGUGUGUGUGUGUGUGUGUGUGUGUGUGUGUGUGUGUGUGUGUGUGCGUGUGUGUGUGUGUGUGUCUGUGUGUGUGUGUGUGUGUGUAUCCUGCAGUACUCUGAGAAGAAUAAUAAGCAUAUUUCUGAGGUGAAUUUUGAAGAUUCAUCUGAGAGUUAGGUUUGAUUCGAUUCGAUUGACGCUCCCCAGCGUUCAAGUCACAUGACAUAUUUAACCGGAUGUAGCUGCAAGACGGAGCCUCGUUAACUCUCCGUUUCAACUUAUCUCAAAAGUGAGGACCUCAACCUAUAUACCAGUUUUUAAAUUGUGUUGAUAGGCCAAAUAAAACCAGAGUUAUGAUAAAUUAUGUCCGCGAUACUUUUUUUCUGCUUAUUUUGAUCACGUUCGGCGCUCGAUCGUGCUGUAUGAGACAGGAAAACAUUGCAUGCACACAUUAGUGACAGGUCAUACAGGCGGAAAAGGCUUGCCAAAAGAAAAAAAAACACACCACAACAUCUCUCCUAUUGGUGGAAAACUUCACCACAACAACCAAUCCAAAAUUAUAUGGUGACUGAUUGACAAGGGGCGGGCGCUUACGUUCUUCCUGCAACAUGAGAAGGGAGGGAGGGACUCUCAGCAGGGAUGCAGUCUGGGACACGUAGUUGCAAACCUAGCGACUUUGUUGUUAGAUUCAAUUACUUUUCAGACCCCCUAACGACUUUUUUUAGAAAGAAAGGGACUUUUAUCGACUUCUUCUGGAGUUUAGAGACUCUGACAUGAAGCAGGCUUUCCUUACUGAGGAGUUAGCAACGCUGCUAAGGGUGCAGAGCCACACAUGCGCUCCGAGCUCUGCAUGGGAGACAGAAGCUGACAGAGCUGCAGCAGUUAGCAGGUUUCACCCUCAGAGACCACCAGGGGUUCAUGUUGAGGCAUUUUCAGUUUUUUUUUUUUUUGCCAUAGACAGUCAGCACAAUCUGCAGUUACACUAACAAAAAUGCUGCAAAAAACAAAGAAUUAUGGAAAAAUUACACAUGGACUGACAUAGAGGAGGAUCUACACAAGUUUUUUACAUCAUGUUUUACAUCAUGCAUCAUUUACAUCAUGUUUUUUUGUAGUGGCAUAAAUAAAAAGUGACAUUUGUGAGACUAUACAGUGUUUUGUAAAUAAUUUUACAAAGAACGCCUGGGCCAUUGCCUGCAUUUUGAUGUAAAUAGAGGUAAAUUACUAUGUUCUUUGUUAAAAAUUUGCAUAUGUUUUGAAGUUUACAAUUUUUAUUUGAAGUUUAAGUUUUAAAAACAGUUCAUCACACAUAUUUGUGGUUUAAUUUCACAUUAAUUUCCAUAUUGUAUAAAUGACUGGAAAAAACUUGAGCCCCUGCCCCUGUAUAAUCAUGUGCACGUCCCUGUUCUAGCUCCAAGGUGAAUCUUCACUGCUCAUGUUCUCCUCAGAAAUAGUCACCUCACUCUCCUCAGGUUACUGUACACAUGCACCAACUAUCUGCUUCAGGUUUGGAUGGAGCUUCAUGGUUGUCUUUUGGAGAAAUGAACAGUCAAGUUGUGUUUGAAAUCUGAUUUUUUUCAGGGGCAAAAGGAAGCCUCUGCAUUCUUGUCAAAUAUGUAAACAGCAUGUUUUUGCAGGUGCUAAAAAACAGACUCUGAGGUGUGUGUGUGUGUGUGUGUGUGUGUGUGUGUGUGUGUGUGUGUGUGUGUGUGUGUGUGUGUAUAUGUGUGUGUAUCCUGCAGUACUCUGUACUCCUGCAGUGGCCAAAAAGACUUUUAAGAAUGUGGAUUUUUGGGUCAUCUUUGGCGCCCCCUAGAACUGCAGUACUCUGUACUCCUGCAGUGGCCAAAAUGACUUUUAAGAAUGUGGAUUUUUGGGUCAUCUUUGGCGCCCCCUAGAACGUAAACCGUGGGGUGCAGCGUCAUGAUUUUUACAACUUUGAAUGGGCAUGGGGUGUAGAUUGGCCUGAGCAAAUUUGGUAUCGGUGGGACGAAAGCCUUAGGAGGAGAUAGCCACAUUCCAAUGUGUGCGAAUCAACCAAAAAUGCGAAAUAGCCCUUUAACCGUACAUUUUGCAGACACGUGCGCAUUGACUUUUUCGUAGAUCUUAUUGAGAUACACGUGAUUAUCAAAUUUUGUUUCAAUAUGACAAAGCGUACAGGCGUGACACUCAACAAUGUGUAUUUUCACCUUAUAGGACAAGAAAAAAUGGCCUUUUUUCUCCUGCCAUGGGGGGGCGCUCUUUUGGGGAGUAAAAAUUCCUUCACAAAUGUGUUGAUGGCUGGACAUUGCAUCAUCCUAGAAAACUUGGAGGCCAGUGAGGACAGAAAUAAAAAGUUAUAAGACUUGUAAGAAUGUGGAUUUUUGGGUUAUCUUUGGCGCCCCCUACAACGUAAACCGUGGGGUGCAGCGUCAUGAUUUGUACAACUUUGAAUGGCCAUGGGGUGUAGAUUGGCCUGAGCAAAUUUGGUGCCGGUGGAACGAAAGCCUUCGGAGGAGUUAGCGAAAUUCCAAUGUGUGCGGAUCGGCAAAAAAUGCGAAAUAGCCCUUUAAACGUACAUUUGACAGAUACGCCCGCACUGACUUUUUUGUAGAUCUUAUUGAGAUACACGUGUGUGUCAAAUUUUGUGUCAUUUUGACAAAGCGUACAGGCGUGACACUCAAUCAUGUGAAUUUUUCACCUUAGGGGGCGCUAUGGAGCCAUUUUGCAUUUGAUUGUUUGGGUGACUUCAGAAUAUCGAAUUUUUCACCAGGCCCGGUCGUCCUGCCAAAUUUCAUGAGUUUUCACCAGUGGGAAGUGGGCCAUUUUCCAGUUCAAAGGGGCAGAAAAAUAAUAAGAAGAAGAAGAAGAAAGAACUAGGGCCCCGUUGGGGCACUGGCGGGCCCGAGCCGUGUCACGCCGCCCCCAGCGCGACCGCCUCCCCCACCCGUUGCGUCACACUCAAGGUCCAAAGAUGGUGUGCGCACUUGUUUGUGGUCAUUUACCAUUAUAAUGAACGGGAGGUGCAGUUUCUACCAAAACGCUUGCUGCAGAAAAACUCCAUGUCCUAUUUGAAAAAAGUCUGGACCAUGAGUGAGGGCACAAACACAGCUAAGAUAUAUCCAAAUGGCAAGUUGCUCCUCCUUUCGCUUUUGCCGAGAGAGCAGUGCGUUUGAGCCAUUGAAUGAUGAACAGGAAAAACUUGACUUUAUUCUCCUGCCAUGGGGGGGCGCUCUUUUAACGAGAAAAAAUUCCUUCACAAAUGUGUUGAUGGCUGGACAUUGCAUCAUCCUGGAAAACAUGGAGGCCAGUGAGGACAAAAAUAAAAAGUUAUAAGACUUUUAAAUAUGUGGAUUUUAGGGUUAUCUUUGGCGCCCCCUAGAACCUAAACCGUGGGGUGCAGCAUCAUGAUUUGAAUAACUUUUAAUGGCCAUGGGGUGUAGAUUGGCCUGAGCAAAUGUGGUGCCGGUGGAACGAAAGCCUUCGGAGGAGUUAGCGAAAUUCCAAUGUGUGCGAAUCUGCAAAAAAUGCGAAAUAACCCUUUAACCGUACAUUUUACAGAUACGUGGCCAUUGACUUUUUCGAAGAUCUUAUUGAAAUACACGUGUAUGUAAAAUUUUGUGUCAAUACGACAAAACAUACAGGCGUAGCACUCAACAAUGUGUAUUUUCACCUUAGUGGACAAGAAAAAAUGGACUUUUUUCUCCUGCUAUGGGGGGGCGCUCUUUUGGCGAGUAAAAAUUCCUUCACAAAUGUGUUGAUGGCUGGACAUUGCAUCAUCCUAGAAAACUUGGAGGCCAGUGGGGACAAAAAUAAAAAGUUAUAAGACUUUUAAAUAUGUGGAUUUUACGGUUAUAUUUGGCGCCCCCUAGAACCUAAACCGUGGGGUGCAGCGUCAUGAUUUGAAUAACUUUUAAUGGCCAUGGGGUGUAGAUUGGCCUGAGCAAAUGUGGUGCCGGUGGAACGAAAGCCUUCGGAGGAGUUAGCGAAAUUCCAAUGUGUGCGGAUCGGCAAAAAAUGCGGAAUAACCCUUUAACCGUACAUUUGACAGAUACGCGCGCAUUGACUUUUUCGUAGAUCUUAUUGAGAUACAUGUGUGUGUCAAUUUUUGUGUCAUUUUGCCAAAGCGUACAGGUGUUACACUCAACAAUGUGUAUUUUCACCUUAGGGGACAAGAAAAAAUGGACUUUUUUCUCCUGCCAUGGGGGGGCGCUCUUUUGGGGAGUAAAAAUUCCUUCACAAAUGUGUUGAUGGCUGGACAUUGCAUCAUCCUAGAAAACUUGGAGGCCAGUGAGGGCAAAAAUAAAAAGUUAUAAGACUUUUAAAUAUGUGGAUCUUAGGGUUAUCUUUGGCGCCCCCUAGAACCUAAACCGUGGGGUGCAGCGUCAUGAUUUGAAUAACUUUUAAUGGCCAUGGGGUGUAGAUUGGCCUGAGCAAAUGUGGUGCCGGUGGAACGAAAGCCUUCGGAGGAGUUAGCGAAAUUCCAAUGUGUGCGGAUCGGCAAAAAAUGCGCAAUAACCCUUUAACCGUACAUUUGACAGAUACGCGCGCAUUGACUUUUUCGUAGAUCUUAUUGAGAUACAUGUGUGUGUCAAUUUUUGUGUCAUUUUGCCAAAGCGUACAGGUGUUACACUCAACAAUGUGUAUUUUCACCUUAGGGGACAAGAAAAAAUGGACUUUUUUCUCCUGCCAUGGGGGGCGCUCUUUUGGGGAGUAAAAAUUCCUUCACAAAUGUGUUGAUGGCUGGACAUUGCAUCAUCCUAGAAAACUUGGAGGCCAGUGAGGGCAAAAAUAAAAAGUUAUAAGACUUUUAAAUAUGUGGAUCUUAGGGUUAUCUUUGGCGCCCCCUAGAACCUAAACCGUGGGGUGCAGCGUCAUGAUUUGAAUAACUUUUAAUGGCCAUGGGGUGUAGAUUGGCCUGAGCAAAUGUGGUGCCGGUGGAACGAAAGCCUUCGGAGGAGUUAGCGAAAUUCCAAUGUGUGCGGAUCGGCAAAAAAUGCGAAAUAACCCUUUAACCGUACAUUUGACAGAUACGGCCGCACUGACUUUUUUGUAGAUCUUAUUGAGAUACAUGUGUGUGUCAAUUUUUGUGUCAUUUUGACAAAGCGUACAGGCGUGACAGUCAAUAGUGUGAAUUUUCACCUUAGGGGGCGCUAUGGAGCCAUUUUGCAUUUUCUUGUUUGGGCGACUUCGGAAUAUCAAAUUUUUCACCAGGCCCGGUCGUCCUGCCAAAUUUCAUGAGUUUUCGCCAGUGGGAAGUGGGCCAUUUUCCAGUUCAAAGGGGAGGAAAAAUAAUAAUAAUAACAAAAGAAGGAAACUACAGGAACAAGAGGGCUCUCGCAGCUGCUUAGCAGCUACGCUCGGGCCCUAAGAAUCCAUCAGGAAUAAUAGGGCUCUCGCAGCUGCUUAGCAGCUACGCUCGGGCCCUAAAAAGAAGGAAACUACAGGAACAAGAGGGCUCUCGCAGCUGCUUAGCAGCUACGCUCGGGCCCUAAAGAAAGAAAGAAAGAAAGAAAGAAAGAAGAAAGAAAAACCUAUACAGGAAUAAUAGGGCUCUACGCCCGGCUGCUCUGCAGCUGGCUCGGGCCCUAAUAAUAACAAAAGAAGAAUCCAUCAGGAACAAGAGGGCUCUCGCAGCUGCUUAGCAGCUACGCUCGGGCCCUAAAGAAAAACCCCUACAGGAAUAACAGGGCCUACGCCCGGCUGCUCUGCAGCUGGCUCGGGCCCUAAAAAGAAACAAAGAAAAACCCCUUGGGGAAUAAUAGGGCUCUCGCAGCUGCUUAGCAGCUACGCUCGGGCCCUAAUAAAAAUUAGGCUUUGUAAAAUCAAAAUAAUUAAAGCUGUUGGCCUUUGUAAUUUUUUUUUUUUUUAAACAAGCUAAAUUAAAUUGACCUCAAAUCACUGAGCAAAUGUCCCUUUUUUUGUUGUUUUUGUCGGAGGAUAUUAGUAAUUGAUGGGCACACAAAGAUUAGAGGUGGGGUAGGCAGGAAUCUGUUCAGACAGCAUCUUCUUUUGUGGUGUUUAUACAAAAAAGUUUUUAAUAUCAGUCAAUAUCUAUCAGUUAUUGAUGACAUUUGGGAAUAUAACGAUAUUGCUGUGUUCUCUUGUGCCUGUGUAGUCAAAACAUUUUAACAUUUGAGCGGUUCGCUCAUUCUGACCAUUAACAAAGCCAUUCUCCGCCUCCUCGACCUGAUUGGUUGUGAGGCAGACGCUGCUCCCCCGUGUUGUGAGGCACACUCCACGUCCUCGAAAAACAUUCAUGCGCCCAAACAGAGUUAGCAUGCUACAAUAUCAGACAGUAGAAAUAACCCGGAAAGUAAGGGGGGAAAAAAAAGGUUGUGUCACAGUCCAGAGUUAAACCAAAAAGGGAAAGGAUCCAUAAUGUAGAACAAAAAAAGGGUUUAUUUAAAAAGAACAAAAUAAAAAAAAAGCAACAAAAGAGGCAAAAUCCACAAAAAUCACAGGGCACGAGAGGGGACACAAGCAUACGCAACAACAUACAGACACACAAUGAACCAACCCGGACAGAGGGGAAGACAGAGACUAUACACACACUGGGAAACGAGCAACAGGUGAGGAAGACGAGACACAGGUGAGACUCAUGGGUGAUUAACGAAGGAGGGAAAUGUAGGGAGUAAAAACACAAGGAAUCAACUGCUACAAAAUAAAACAGGAAAUAAACACAGAAAACUGAUCUAAAGAAUAAAACAGAGAACAGGAGGGAAAGAGGGUGAAACACAAACUGAAAACUAACAAGACUGGACUACAGGGGAGCAAAGACACGAGAGACAGAACACAAAAUACACUCAAAUAAAAUCAGGAGUAAACUAAAUAAACAGAACAUAGCAUGACAAGUCUUAUGAUUUGUAUUUUUUGACAUGAGUUUAUUUGGACCCUACAGAAAAAAAGUUGGUGUACUUCUUGAACAUCAGACACAAGUUUUAUAGACUCUUAUCACAGGCCCAAUCUCUUGAACAUUAAAAAGUUCGAGGAAUCAAAGUUAGUGUCCUCACUCUGGAGGUUUUUCUCCCAUCUCAUCCUCAUCCUCUAAGGUCUUUGGACCUUAUAAGCUGAAAGAGGCUCUCUGGCAAACACACACAGACACACUGUGAUUCACACCCUGUUCCAUUCCCUCUCAGAGGAGUUGUUAGACAGAUAAUGAAGUCAGCAGUCUCAAAGAUAACUAGGGCCCCGUUGGGGCACUGGCGGGCCCGAGCCGUGUCACGCCGCCCCCAGCGCGACCGCCUCCCCCACCCGAUCGCGGCACACUCAAGGUCCAAAGAUGGUGUGCGCACUUGUUUGUGGUCAUUUACCAUUAUAAUGAACGGGAGGCGCAGUUUCUACCAAAACGCUCGCUGCAGAAAAACUCCAUGUCCUAUUUGAAAAAAGUCUGGACCAUGAGUGAGGGCACAAACACAGCUAAGAUAUAUCCAAAUGGCAAGUUGCUCCUCCUUUCGCUUUUGCCGAGAGAGCAGUGCGUUUGAGCCAUUGAAUGAUGAACAGGAAAAACUUGACUUUAUUCUCCUGCCAUGGGGGGCGCUCUUUUAAAGAGAAAAACUCCUUCACAAAUGUGUUGAUGGCUGGACAUUGCAUCAUCCUAGAAAACAUGGAGGCCAGUGAGGACAAAAAUAAAAAGUUAUAAGACUUUUAAAUAUGUGGAUUUUAGGGUUAUAUUUGGCGCCCCCUAGAACCUAAACCGUGGGGUGCAGCGUCAUGAUUUGAAUAACUUUUAAUGGCCAUGGGGUGUAGAUUGGCCUGAGCAAAUGUGGUGCCGGUGGAACGAAAGCCUUCGGAGGAAUUAGCGAAAUUCCAAUGUGUGCGAAUCUGCAAAAAAUGCGAAAUAACCCUUUAACCGUACAUUUUACAGAUACGUGGCCAUUGACUUUUUCGAAGAUCUUAUGUAAAUACACGUGUAUGUAAAAUUUUGUGUCAAUACGACAAAACAUACAGGCGUAGCACUCAACAAUGUGUAUUUUCACCUUAGUGGACAAGAAAAAAUUGACUUUUUUCUCCUGCCAUGGGGGGCGCUCUUUUGCCGAGUAAAAAUUCCUUCACAAAUGUGUUGAUGGCUGGACAUUGCAUCAUCCUAGAAAACUUGGAGGCCAGUGGGGACAAAAAUAAAAAGUUAUAAGCCUUUUAAAUAUGUGGAUUUUACGGUUAUCUUUGGCUCCCCCUAGAACCUAAACCGUGGGGUGCAGCGUCAUGAUUUGAAUAACUUUUAAUGGCCAUGGGGUGUAGAUUGGCCUGAGCAAAUGUGGUGCCGGUGGAACGAAAGCCUUCGGAGGAGUUAGCGAAAUUCCAAUGUGUGCGGAUCGGCAAAAAAUGCGGAAUAACCCUUUAACCGUACAUUUGACAGAUACGCGCGCAUUGACUUUUUCGUAGAUCUUAUUGAGAUACAUGUGUGUGUCAAUUUUUGUGUAAUUUUGACAAAGCGUACAGGUGUUACACUCAACAAUGUGUAUUUUCACCUUAGGGGACAAGAAAAAAUGGACUUUUUUCUCCUGCCAUGGGGGGGCGCUCUUUUGGGGAGUAAAAAUUCCUUCACAAAUGUGUUGAUGGCUGGACAUUGCAUCAUCCUAGAAAACUUGGAGGCCAGUGAGGGCAAAAAUAAAAAGUUAUAAGACUUUUAAAUAUGUGGAUCUUAGGGUUAUCUUUGGCGCCCCCUAGAACCUAAACCGUGGGGUGCAGCGUCAUGAUUUGAAUAACUUUUAAUGGCCAUGGGGUGUAGAUUGGCCUGAGCAAAUGUGGUGCCGGUGGAACGAAAGCCUUCGGAGGAGUUAGCGAAAUUCCAAUGUGUGCGGAUCGGCAAAAAAUGCGAAAUAACCCUUUAACCGUACAUUUGACAGAUACGCCCGCACUGACUUUUUUGUAGAUCUUAUUGAGAUACAUGUGUGUGUCAAUUUUUGUGUCAUUUUGACAAAGCGUACCGGCGUGACAGUGAAUAGUGUGAAUUUUCACCUUAGGGGGCGCUAUGGAGCCAUUUUGCAUUUUCUUGUUUGGGCGACUUCGGAAUAUCAAAUUUUUCACCAGGCCCGGUCGUCCUGCCAAAUUUCAUGAGUUUUCGCCAGUGGGAAGUGGGCCAUUUUCCAGUUCAAAGGGGAGGAAAAAUAAUAACUAGGGCCCCGGUGGGGCACUGUCGGGCCCGAGCCGCGUCGCGCCGCCCCCAGUGCGACCGCCUCCCCGUCCCGAUCGAGUCACACUCAAGAACCAAAGAUGGUGUGCGCACUUGUCUGUGGUCAUUUCCCAUUAUAAUGAAUGGGAGGCGCAGUUUCUACCAAAACACUCGCUGCAGAC